rnacentral:rRNA from 1 species
GACGAACGCUGGCGGCGUGCCUAACACAUGCAAGUCGAGCGGAGACAGGGAGUAGCUUGCUAUGAGCUGUUUUAGCGGCGGACGGGUGAGUAACGCGUGAGCAACCUUUCCCAGACAGGGGAAUAACACACCGAAAGGUGUACUAAUACCGCAUAAGACCACGGGAUCACAUGGUUCUGGGGUAAAAGAUUUAUCGGUUUGGGGUGGGCUCGCGUCCGAUUAGGUAGUUGGUGAGGUAACGGCCCACCAAGCCGACGAUCGGUAGCCGACCUGAGAGGGUGAUCGGCCACAUUGGGACUGAGACACGGCCCAAACUCCUACGGGAGGCAGCAGUGGGGAAUAUUGGGCAAUGGAGGAAACUCUGACCCAGCAACGCCGCGUGGAGGAAGAAGGUUUUCGGAUCGUAAACUCCUGUC